rnacentral:tRNA from 1 species
GCCUUCAUGGUUUAGUGGGCAGCACGCUUGGCUCGUAUUCGAGAGGUCCAUGGUUUGAGUCCAGGCGAAGGCA